UACGUAGGGACCAAGCGUUGUCCGGAAUCAUUGGCGUAAAGCGCGUGUAGGCGGUCCGGUAAGUCCGCUGUGAAAGUCGAGGCUCAACCUCGAAUGCCGGUGGAUACUGUCGUGCUCGAGGCCGGAGGGGUAGCGGAAUUCCCAGUGUAGGCGGUGAAUGACGUAGAUAUUGGGAAGGAACACCAGUGGCGAAGGCGGCUGACCUGGACCGGUUCUGGACGCCUGAUGCGCGAAAGCGUGGGUAGCAACAGGA
rnacentral:rRNA from 1 species